rnacentral:lncRNA from 10 species
GCAGUUUUGGCACACAACUCAGGGUGGCUGAGACACGUGACUUGCUCCAGAGCCUGCAGAUGAGAAUCUGGAACAACUGACGAAAAGCCAGGCAAGAAAAGGCCUUUGAUUACUUAAGAAAAGUGAGUCUUCUUAAUGUUAAAAGAGCUUGGCCAUUGACAUUAAGACUGCCUUCUUCCUGAAGCCCCACAAACUGAAGCUAAGUGACUGAUAUAGACUUCCAUAAUACCCUUUUGUCCAAUCAUGUUUCUACAUGGCUGUGCAUUCUUCAUCAAACUUAAGCCUAAAAAUAGAAAGUUUUCUCUGGGUUUUGGAUUUUCAUUUUUUGGGGCUCCCAUGUCACAUAAAACUUUGAGUAAAAUAAUUUGUUAUGCUUUUCUCUUUUUAACUGUUUUAAAGCAUGAACCAGCCUGCCUGGCUGGUGUUUCUCUUUAGUCCUUUUUGCCUUUCUUUUCCUGGUCAUGUCUUGUACAUCUGCAUUAGAGGCAAUGAGACAACAAAUUUAUUAGGACAAAAUGAAAGGGUCGUGAGAAUUUAGGGUACUUUUAAAAGACUUGUUGAAUUAGUUGACUCAAAAUUGAAUGUUGCUCUUCAUGUCUUCUUAUGAAGAGCUGUCUUUGAACUUAUGGAGUUAGCCAUUUUCUGUCUUGCUUAGUUACUGCUGUCAGUCUACCUGUUCAUUAGUCAUAGCAGGAUUUUAAACUCACUAAAUGCUUCUACCCCUUGUCUCUCAGACUCCUCCUGUAUUUCUCCUUUCCUUAUUCAAUUUUGAGUCAACUAAUUCAACAAGUCUUUUAAAAGUACCCUAAAUUCUCAUCACCCUUUCAUUUUGUCCUAAUAAAUUUGUUGUCUCAUUGCCUCUAAUGCAGAUGGGGCAUGCACCAGUCUAGGCCACUUUGAGGCAAUGGCAGAGAGAAGAGGAGAAAGAAGUGGGGGUAGAGGAGUGGAAGUAGAAGUGCAAGCAGGGAUGGCACUUACCUCCCUGACACAAUGCCUAGUUGGCUGAAGAUUCUAUGGCCAUUCUAACUUUAAUGGACUGAGCCAUUCAUUUAUUAGACACAGAACCUUUAUUGUUUUACAUGAAAUUGUCAUUUUGUUGCUUUCAGUGACAAACUCUCAUUCAAAUACAUUCAUUUUCUCUAGUGCUCACUUGCUAUCAUCCUUUUCAGAGAUCCCUUGGCUCUUGUUUGGUUAAUGGCAUCAAUCCCUAGCAAGCCUCUCAGAUUUAGUCUUGUUCUGUUACAGUUCACCCAGUAUGUUGUUUUCAGGGUGAACCUUUUAACAGUUAGAAUAUGAUUUGAUUUUUCCUGUUUAAAACCCUCCUAUAGCCUUCCAUUGCUCUUGGAAUGCAACUGAAACUUUUUGGGAGUGUUUCUCCCAUAAUCUAUGUUAUACCUAACUCUAUAGUCUCUUAUCAAGCUCCAUGAACUGUUACAUUUUAUAAUUUAUCAUGUUGUAUUUGUUUUGGACAUUCAAAUGUUCUGUACUUCCUUAUUUCAUGGCAACUGAACAUGUGUUUUUUUUUCUUACCCCGAAGUUACUUUUUUCUUUUCUCAGUUCCUCAAGCCAGCUUCAACCUAAGUCUCACUGCCCUCAGAAUGCCAUUUCUAAUCACUAGAUAAGAGUAGUUGCCCUUUUUAACUUUUCUAAUUGUUCCUUAUAUACUUGCUAAGUAGUAGUUAUCAGAAUUUAUUAUCAUUGAUUGUUUAAUUGUGUCUCAUUCCUACUAGACUGAAAGUUCAUGCAGUAGUUAUCACAGAUGUCUUAUUCAUCCCGCUAUCUCCAGUGCUUAGCAUAAUACUUGGAAUAUGACGGAACAAAAAACUAUUCAUCAAAUAAGCAAUUACUUUAUUAUAGCCUUGGUUAGAUGUAUCUCCAUAGACUCAGUGACUCAGUACCUUCUAGGACAGGUUAGGCUGAUUGAUUUUGAGUCAUCAGGUCCAUAGGAAACAUCAGUAGUGAGGAAGCAAGGAAGAUAAUUUGAGGAUAUGUAUUUGAGAGACUUGAAUCCUACUGUAGUUGCUGUAGGCAAUAAGGGGAUACCUCCUUUCCUGAGGUAACUUCACCUGAGUGCCCUCUGGUCAGUUUAUUGGCAACUUUAUAGCAAGGAAAGUUAGGAUAGCUAGCAAUUACUUCUAAUCAUUUUUGAUUCUAUGGUAUCCAGACACAGCAUAUCAUCUGCAAUUACGCUGGCAGCUAAAUGGCAAAAAUUGAGGGAAGAUUUGAUGUAAAUAGAACAAAGAAACUUUGAUCUUUAUUGAAGACGCAUAUUCCAUUGCACUUAAAAAGAAAGUAUUCAUUACUCUCAUACACAAAAGAGGUGGCAGAAAUUCAUAUUAAAAGUGGAAGGUUAAAAUUUGAUGGGUUGUUUGUGUCACCCUCAAUCAUCUUUGUGAUCAUAGACAACUGAAGAAGUAUCAACAGGCACAUCUCCUUUCUUAAGAAAGCUGGAGAACAAAGAGCUUCCUAUCUUACUUUGCUUUCAAAUUAAGGGUGUGGUAUAUGACAUCUAAACACAUGGAGAAAUGCUCACCAAAUCUGAUCUUUGUUGUUGUUGUUAAAUAAAGUCGAUUGGGAAAAAAAAAGUCAUUCAACCCAUAAGAUAAAAGAAAGUCUGUCUGUGAAUAAAUUAGAAGUAAAUGAAUUUGAGGAGAGAAUACACUGAUUCAUACCUCAAAAGGCAUGAUUUAAAUGCUUUUGUGUAAUGAAUGUUAUGUUUUAUAUUUUUAAAAAUUGGUAUAUCUCUAUGAGAUAUUUUUAACAUUGUUAAUGUUAUGUUUAAUAUAUAAUUGUUAUGUUUACCAUUCUCAUUUACUUGGCUGUAACUACCCAAUAGUACAGAAAAAGAAAGGGCAAAAUAUAGAUAGUAAUGCUAGUGCAAUUACAUAGACAUCUCUCAUGUUUUCAAGAUUCAUUUGCAGCACAGCAUAUUCAUGAUUCAUGUAACUGCUCCUCCCACUACGAUGAAGAACCCUACAAACACUCUCAGCCUCAACAAAUGAACUAAGGAUCCCUUGGGCUGCCUUUCAACAUCGAGAGAUUGUUCUUUCUGUUCAAGAGCUGACAUUUAUGCUGACACCUACAGCAAAGUGAAGAGAGGAAAAUGGUCCUAUAGAGAAAGAAUGACAAAUUCAAAGUUUCUGAGAUGACAAAGAUCUUGCAUUUCAGAGGACUUUAGAGAAGACCCAUGGAGCUAGCAUUCAGUGAGAAAUGAGGCUAGUGGCCCAGUUCUCAGUCGGUAUCCUGCAGGGAGGGCUCAAGAAACUGGGUUAUCUUCUGAGUUGAAAGGGAAGCCACUGAGGGGUUUCAUGCAGGGGAGUGACAUUGUUAUUUAAUUUAUUUCUUAAGAGGCUCUCUUUUGCUAACAUGUGAAGAAAAGAUUGGAGGGGAAUGAGUCCCUGAAAGACCAGUCUGUUGUCUAUUACACUACUUCGAAUAAGAGAUGAUGGUAGUCUAAGGGGAUGAUUUUGGAAAUAAAGGACGUGGAUGAUUCUGAAAUAUUACAUACACAUAUAAUUAACAGGAUAUGCACAUGUGUUAAAUAGAGGGCAAAGGGAGAUAAAAGAAUCAAAGUUGACCCUUAGUUUCUAGAUCUAACACCCUUGAGAAUGCUCAGAUGAAAAAUUUAGAAAUAGGGGAUAUUUAUAGGAUUAGGUAGGGGAAAGACUGGGAAAACAAGAUUGAUUAUAAUAAAAUUUUGUUUUAAUAAAACUUGAGGUGUCUAUGAGAAAAAUUAAGUGUAACUGGCUACUGGCUAUACAACCUUAAGACUCAAAAAAGAAUUAUGUAAUAGAAAAAUAAACCUAAGAAUAAUUAGCAUAGAUAUGCUAUUUAAAUUCAAAGAAGUAAAUGAGAUCAUGUAGUCAUAGAAAAGUAUUUAGAAUGGAACCCUGGAAGGCUCUAGCAUUUAGAGGUCAGAUGAAAGAGGCUGAGAAAUCAAAGAAACUUAAGAAAGAAUGGCCCUAGAGGAAAGAAGAAAACAAACAGAACAUGUUGUCAUGGAAGCCAAGAGAAGAGUGUGUUAGAAAUAAGAGAAUGUGGUCAAGUAUAUUGAAUGCAGGUCAAGUAAAAUAAAGACAAAUAAUUUGUACAUUCAAUUUAGCACUAUGGUUAUCAUCAGUGACCUUAACAAAAGCAGUUUCAGUGAAGUGAGAGAGAGUAAAACAAGAUUUUUACUGGUUUGGAGUAAUGGAAAGAGUAAUGGAAACAGAGCAUGGUUUCAAGAAACCCUACUAUAAUCCAAUGAACUGAGUCCAAAAAUUUCAAUUGUAUAAAAUGUGGAGGGCCGUUAUUUCAAGGUUAAUAAAAUGACCUGUGCAGCAAUCAUGCUGGUAGUUCUAAGGGUCCAGCCGUGUGAUCCACAUUCAUGCAAGUUCUGGCUAUAGUUCGCAACCACAUAACAGUUGCCCACUCCUGUUCAAAUAUAGACAGGGAUGAUUCUGGAUCCUGUGACUAUCUGGACUCCCAUGACAUCUGCAGUGAUUGUGAUGUCUCCUGAUAUUAGAGUGAUUGAAAUUGUGCUGGAAAAAUACUAGGGAUUUAAUGUCUACUCCAUGCCA